GGUUUGACGGUACCUUUAAAGGAAGCACCGGCUAACUCUGUGCCAGCAGCCGCGGUAAUACGGAGGGUGCAAGCGUUGUUCGGAAUUAUUGGGCGUAAAGCGCGUGUAGGCGGUUUGUUAAGUCUGGUGUGAAAGCCCUGGGCUCAACCUGGGAAGUGCAUUGGAUACUGGCAAACUUGAGUACGGGAGAGGAUAGUGGAAUUUCGAGUGUAGGGGUGAAAUCCGUAGAUAUUCGAAGGAACACCGGUGGCGAAGGCGGCUAUCUGGACCGAUACUGACGCUGAGACGCGAAAGCGUGGGGAGUAAACAGGAUUAGAUAUCCUGGUAGUCCACGCCGUAAACGAUGGGUACUAGGUGUUGCGGGUA
rnacentral:rRNA from 1 species